GUGCUUGCUUUGGCAGCACAGAUACUAAGAUUGGAACGAUACAGAAAAGAUUAGCAUGGCCCCUGCACAAGGAUGACACUCAAAUUCGUGAAGCGUUCCAUAUUUUU
rnacentral:snRNA from 1 species